GCACUAGUGAUGCAAUGGUAGCAUGAGAGCCUUCCAAGCUCUUCAUCCGGGUUCAAAUCCCGGCUAGUGCA
rnacentral:tRNA from 1 species